rnacentral:rRNA from 1 species
AGUGAACGCUGGCGGUAGGCCUAACACAUGCAAGUCGAACGGCAGCACAGUAAGAGCUUGCUCUUACGGGUGGCGAGUGGCGGGCGGGUGAGGAAUACAUCGGAAUCUACUUUUUCGUGGGGGAUAACGUAGGGAAACUUACGCUAAUACCGCAUACGACCUACGGGUGAAAGCAGGGGAUCUUCGGACCUUGCGCGAUUGAAUGAGCCAAUGUCGGAUUAGCUAGUUGGCGGGGUAAAGGCCCACCAAGGCGACGAUCCGUAGCUGGUCUGAGAGGAUGAUCAGCCACACUGGAACUGAGACACGGUCCAGACUCCUACGGGAGGCAGCAGUGGGGAAUAUUGGACAAUGGGCGCAAGCCUGAUCCAGCCAUACCGCGUGGGUGAAGAAGGCCUUCGGGUUGUAAAGCCCUUUUGUUGGGAAAGAAAAGCAGCAGGUUAAUACCCCGCUGUUCUGACGGUACCCAAAGAAUAAGCACCGGCUAACUUCGUG